rnacentral:tRNA from 1 species
AUAUAAACUGGGCAAAAGACUAUACUUUUGAGGAGGUUUUGAAGAGAUUAUAAGAACUGUUAAAGCAAACUUCUAGGCGGGAAACCGCGCACAGGUUCGAGUCCUGUUGUGUGCGCCA